rnacentral:rRNA from 1 species
GAUGAACGCCGGCGGUGUGCCUAAUACAUGCAAGUCGAACGCGUUGGCCCAAUUGAUUGAUGGUGCUUGCACCUGAUUGAUUUUGGUUGCCAACGAGUGGCGGACGGGUGAGUAACACGUAGGUAACCUGCCCAGAAGCGGGGGACAACAUUUGGAAACAGAUGCUAAUACCGCAUAACAGCGUUGUUCGCAUGAAUAACGCUUAAAAGAUGGCUUCUCGCUAUCACUUCUGGAUGGACCUGCGGUGCAUUAGCUUGUUGGUGGGGUAACGGCCUACCAAGGCGAUGAUGCAUAGCCGAGUUGAGAGACUGAUCGGCCACAAUGGGACUGAGACACGGCCCAUACUCCUACGGGAGGCAGCAGUAGGGAAUCUUCCACAAUGGGCGCAAGCCUGAUGGAGCAACACCGCGUGAGUGAAGAAGGGUUUCGGCUCGUAAAGCUCUGUUGUUAAAGAAGAACACGUAUGAGAGUAACUGUUCAUACGUUGACGGUAUUUAACCAGAAAGUCACGGCUAACUACGUGCCAGCAGCCGCGGUAAUACGUAGGUGGCAAGCGUUAUCCGGAUUUAUUGGGCGUAAAGAGAGUGCAGGCGGUUUUCUAAGUCUGAUGUGAAAGCCUUCGGCUUAACCGGAGAAGUGCAUCGGAAACUGGAUAACUUGAGUGCAGAAGAGGGUAGUGGAACUCCAUGUGUAGCGGUGGAAUGCGUAGAUAUAUGGAAGAGCACCAGUGGCGAAGGCGGCUACCUGGUCUGCAACUGACGCUGAGACUCGAAAGCAUGGGUAGCGAACAGG